GACGAACGCUGGCGGCGUGCUUAACACAUGCAAGUCGAACGGAAAGGCCCUGCUUUUGUGGGGUGCUCGAGUGGCGAACGGGUGAGUAACACGUGAGUAACCUGCCCUUGACUUUGGGAUAACUUCAGGAAACUGGGGCUAAUACCGGAUAGGAGCUCCUGCUGCAUGGUGGGGGUUGGAAAGUUUCGGCGGUUGGGGAUGGACUCGCGGCUUAUCAGCUUGUUGGUGGGGUAGUGGCUUACCAAGGCUUUGACGGGUAGCCGGCCUGAGAGGGUGACCGGCCACAUUGGGACUGAGAUACGGCCCAGACUCCUACGGGAGGCAGCAGUGGGGAAUAUUGCACAAUGGGCGGAAGCCUGAUGCAGCAACGCCGCGUGCGGGAUGACGGCCUUCGGGUUGUAAACCGCUUUCGCCUGUGACGAAGCGUGAGUGACGGUAAUGGGUAAAGAAGCACCGGCUAACUACGUGCCAGCAGCCGCGGUGAUACGUAGGGUGCGAGCGUUGUCCGGAUUUAUUGGGCGUAAAGGGCUCGUAGGUGGUUGAUCGCGUCGGAAGUGUAAUCUUGGGGCUUAACCCUGAGCGUGCUUUCGAUACGGGUUGACUUGAGGAAGGUAGGGGAGAAUGGAAUUCCUGGUGGAGCGGUGGAAUGCGCAGAUAUCAGGAGGAACACCAGUGGCGAAGGCGGUUCUCUGGGCCUUUCCUGACGCUGAGGAGCGAAAGCGUGGGGAGCGAACAGGCUUAGAUACCCUGGUAGUCCACGCUGUAAACGGUGGGUACUAGGUGUGGGGUCCAUUCCACGGGUUCCGUGCCGUAGCUAACGCUUUAAGUACCCCGCCUGGGGAGUACGGCCGCAAGGCUAAAACUCAAAGGAAUUGACGGGGCCCCGCACAAGCGGCGGAGCAUGCGGAUUAAUUCGAUGCAACGCGUAGAACCUUACCUGGGUUUGACAUGGAUCGGGAGCGCUCAGAGAUGGGUGUGCCUCUUUUGGGGUCGGUUCACAGGUGGUGCAUGGCUGUCGUCAGCUCGUGUCGUGAGAUGUUGGGUUAAGUCCCGCAACGAGCGCAACCCCUGUUCACUGUUGCCAGCACGUUAUGGUGGGGACUCAGUGGAGACCGCCGGGGUCAACUCGGAGGAAGGUGGGGAUGACGUCAAGUCAUCAUGCCCCUUAUGUCCAGGGCUUCACGCAUGCUACAAUGGCUGGUACAGAGAGUGGCGAGCCUGUGAGGGUGAGCGAAUCUCGGAAAGCCGGUCUCAGUUCGGAUUGGGGUCUGCAACUCGACCUCAUGAAGUCGGAGUCGCUAGUAAUCGCAGAUCAGCAACGCUGCGGUGAAUACGUUCCCGGGGCU
rnacentral:rRNA from 1 species